rnacentral:rRNA from 1 species
AGAGUUCGAUCCUGGCUCAGGAUGAACGCUGGCGGCGCGCCUAACACAUGCAAGUCGAACGAUUAAAGCACCUUCGGGUGUGUAUAAAGUGGCGAACGGCUGAGUAACACGUGGGCAACCUGCCCCUCUCAUUGGGAUAGCCACGGGAAACCGUGGAUAAUACCGAAUACUUCGAGUCUCCCGCAUGGAAGACUCGAGAAAGCUCCGGCGGAGAGGGAUGGGCCCGCGGCCUGUUAGCUUGUUGGUGGGGUAACGGCCUACCAAGGCAAUGAUGGGUAGCUGGGUUGAGAGACCGACCAGCCAGAUUGGGACUGAGACACGGCCCAGACUCCUACGGGAGGCAGCAGUGGGGAAUCUUGCACAAUGGGCGAAAGCCUGAUGCAGCGACGCCGCGUGCGGGAUGAAGGCCUUCGGGUUGUAAACCGCUUUCAGCAGGGACGAGGCGAAAGUGACGGUACCUGCAGAAGAAGCCCCGGCUAACUACGUGCCAGCAGCCGCGGUAAUACGUAGGGGGCAAGCGUUAUCCGGAUUCAUUGGGCGUAAAGCGCUCGUAGGCGGUCUGUUAGGUCGGGAGUUAAAUCCGGGGGCUCAACCCCCGUUCGCUCCCGAUACCGGCAGACUUGAGUUUGGUAGGGGAAGGUGGAAUUCCUAGUGUAGCGGUGGAAUGCGCAGAUAUUAGGAAGAACACCAGUGGCGAAGGCGGCCUUCUGGGCCAUAACUGACGCUGAGGAGCGAAAGCUAGGGGAGCAAACAGGAUUAGAUACCCUGGUAGUCCUAGCCGUAAACGAUGGACACUAGGUGUGGGGGGAAUAUUUCUUCCGUGCCGCAGCUAACGCAUUAAGUGUCCCGCCUGGGGAGUACGGCCGCAAGGCUAAAACUCAAAGGAAUUGACGGGGGCC